CACCUGGUUGAUCCUGCCAGUAGUCAUAUGCUUGUCUCAAAGAUUAAGCCAUGCAUGUCUAAGUAUAAGCUUUAAACGGCGAAACUGCGAAUGGCUCAUUAAAACAGUUAUAGUUUAUUUGGUGAUCGAUUACUAUUUGGAUAACCGUAGUAAUUCUAGAGCUAAUACAUGCGUCAAGGCCCGACUUCGGAAGGGCUGCGUUUAUUAGAUACAGAACCAACCUAGGCUCCGCCUAGUCCUUGUUGGUGAUUCAUAAUAACCCGGCGAAUCGCACGGCUUGUCCGGCGAUGGACCAUUCAAGUUUCUGACCUAUCAGCUAUGGACGGUAGGGUAUUGGCCUACCGUGGCGUUGACGGGUAACGGGGAAUUAGGGUUCGAUUCCGGAGAGGGAGCCUGAGAAACGGCUACCACAUCUAAGGAAGGCAGCAGGCGCGCAAAUUACCCAAUCCUGAUACAGGGAGGUAGUGACAAGAAAUAACAAUACAGGGCAAUUCUGUCUUGUAAUUGGAAUGAGUAGAUUUUAAAUCUCUUUACGAGUAUCAAUUGGAGGGCAAGUCUGGUGCCAGCAGCCGCGGUAAUUCCAGCUCCAAUAGCGUAUAUUAAAGUUGUUGCGGUUAAAAAGCUCGUAGUUGGAUUUCUGCCUUGGGGCGACGAUCCACCUUUCCUACGGGAUUGGUCGGUAUCAAGUUUUGACCUUGGCUUUUUCUUGGGGAUUCGUGCUCACGUACUUAACUGUGCGUUGACCGUGUUUCAAGACUUUUACUU
rnacentral:ncRNA from 1 species